GAGCUCAAAUUUGAAAGCUGGCCCCUUCGGGGUCCGCGUUGUAAUUUGCAGAGGAUGCUUCGGGUGCAGCCCCCGUCUAAGUGCCCUGGAACGGGCCGUCAUAGAGGGUGAGAAUCCCGUCUGGGACGGGGUGUCUGCGUCCGUGUGAAGCUCCUUCGACGAGUCGAGUUGUUUGGGAAUGCAGCUCUAAAUGGGUGGUAAAUUUCAUCUAAAGCUAAAUACUGGCCGGAGACCGAUAGCGCACAAGUAGAGUGAUCGAAAGAUGAAAAGCACUUUGAAAAGAGAGUUAAACAGCACGUGAAAUUGUUGAAAGGGAAGCGUUUGCGACCAGACUCGCCCGCGGGGUUCAGCCGGCAUUCGUGCCGGUGUACUUCCCCGUGGGCGGGCCAGCGUCGGUUUGGGCGGCCGGUCAAAGGCCCUCGGAAUGUAUCACCUCUCGGGGUGUCUUAUAGCCGAGGGUGCAAUGCGGCCUGCCUGGACCGAGGAACGCGCUUCGGCUCGGACGCUGGCGUAAUGGUCGUAAAUGACCCGUCUUG
rnacentral:rRNA from 1 species